rnacentral:rRNA from 1 species
UACAGAGGGUGCGAGCGUUGUCCGGAAUCACUGGGCGUAAAGGGCGCGUAGGCGGCUUUUCAAGCGUGCGGUGAAAGCUCGGGGCUUAACUCCGAGUCUGCCGUGCGAACUGGGAGGCUUGAGUCUGGUAGAGGUCGAUGGAAUUCCGGGUGUAGCGGUGGAAUGCGUAGAGAUCCGGAAGAACACCGGUGGCGAAGGCGGUCGACUGGGCCAGUACUGACGCUGAGGCGCGACAGCGUGGGGAGCAA